rnacentral:misc_RNA from 1 species
GAUGAAGAACGCAGCGAAAUGCGAUAAGUAAUGUGAAUUGCAGAAUUCAGUGAAUCAUCGAAUCUUUGAACGCACAUUGCGCCCCUUGGUAUUCCGAGGGACAUGCCUGUUCGAGCGUCAUUAUAACCCCUCAAGCUCAGCUUGGUGUUGGGGCCUGCUGCACUGGCAGCCCUUAAAAUCAGUGGCGGCGCCAUCUGGCUCUAAGCGUAGUAAUUCUUCUCGCUAUGGAGUCCUGGUGGAUGCUUGCCAUCAACCCCCAAUUUUUCUAUGGUUGACCUCGGAUCAGGUAGGGAUACCCGCUGAACUUAAGCAUAUCAAUAAGCGGAGGA